GCGUUUAAAAAGUGAAGCUGGUCUGAUGAAAGUCAGAAAUCAGAAAGCUGAAAGAGAAGAUGAUGACCAUCCCUGCUGUGUUUCUGUGUCUUGCUGUGCUGCUACUGUCCCCUGGCCCAGGGGAAGCAAGUUCACCGGUGGUUUCAUGUUGUCUGAAAACGGAAAAUAAGAAAAUCCCUGUGACCCGGGUUGAUCGGUAUUCCAUGCAGAAGAAAGGAUUGUGUCCUGUGGACGCAGUGAUCUUUACCUCAGUUAAAGGCAUCACAAUCUGCUCCAAUCCCUCAGACCGCUGGGCAAAAAGAGCCAUGGCAAUUGUGGAUAGCAGGAGACAGACAAAAGUAACCACGGACAUUGCAUCACCCCACCCGUCUACAGAAGCAACUACUAUGAUGCUGAGCACAAAAGACAAAACUGCGCAAUAAUUCUUUACCUUUGUACCACAUUGGAUUUCAGAAUUGUCUUGACGCAUGUGUUGAUAUGCUUGCAAAUAUAUGCUAUGUUGAAUAUUUUCUUCAUAAUGUUUUGGGGAUUGGACAGGCACUUUACUACUGAACACCUUAUAUUAUAUUAUAUUAUUUAAGCUCAUUUUUCAGUGUCUUGGAAUGUGUAUUUAACUGUAUUAUAAUAAAUCACAUAUAUUUUAUUGCA